UACGUAGGGUGCAAGCGUUGUCCGGAAUUAUUGGGCGUAAAGAGCUCGUAGGCGGUUUGUCGCGUCGAAUGUGAAAACCCGGGGCUCAACCCCGGGCCUGCAUUCGAUACGGGCAGACUAGAGUUCGGUAGGGGAGUCUGGAAUUCCUGGUGUAGCGGUGAAAUGCGCAGAUAUCAGGAGGAACACCGGUGGCGAAGGCGGAUCUCUGGGCCUUACCUGACGCUGAGGCGCGAAAGCUAGGGGAGCGAACAGG
rnacentral:rRNA from 1 species